UGCAGUCGAGCGAAUCGGAGGGAGCUUGCUCCCAAAGAUUAGCGGCGGACGGGUGAGUAACACGUGGGCAACCUGCCUGUAAGACUGGGAUAACUUCGGGAAACCGGAGCUAAUACCGGAUAAUCCUUUCCCUCUCAUGAGGGAAAGCUGAAAGACGGUUUCGGCUGUCACUUACAGAUGGGCCCGCGGCGCAUUAGCUAGUUGGUGAGGUAACGGCUCACCAAGGCGACGAUGCGUAGCCGACCUGAGAGGGUGAUCGGCCACACUGGGACUGAGACACGGCCCAGACUCCUACGGGAGGCAGCAGUAGGGAAUCUUCCGCAAUGGACGAAAGUCUGACGGAGCAACGCCGCGUGAGCGAAGAAGGCCUUCGGGUCGUAAAGCUCUGUUGUCAGGGAAGAACAAGUGCCGGAGUAACUGCCGGCACCUUGACGGUACCUGACCAGAAAGCCACGGCUAACUACGUGCCAGCAGCCGCGGUAAUACGUAGGUGGCAAGCGUUGUCCGGAAUUAUUGGGCGUAAAGCGCGCGCAGGCGGUCCUUUAAGUCUGAUGUGAAAGCCCACGGCUCAACCGUGGAGGGUCAUUGGAAACUGGGGGACUUGAGUGCAGAAGAGGAGAGUGGAAUUCCACGUGUAGCGGUGAAAUGCGUAGAGAUGUGGAGGAACACCAGUGGCGAAGGCGACUCUCUGGUCUGUAACUGACGCUGAGGCGCGAAAGCGUGGGGAGCGAACAGGAUUAGAUACCCUGGUAGUCCACGCCGUAAACGAUGAGUGCUAAGUGUUAGAGGGUUUCCGCCCUUUAGUGCUGCAGCAAACGCAUUAAGCACUCCGCCUGGGGAGUACGGCCGCAAGGCUGAAACUCAAAGGAAUUGACGGGGCCCGCACAAGCGGUGGAGCAUGUGGUUUAAUUCGAAGCAACGCGA
rnacentral:rRNA from 1 species